GGACUACCGGGGUAUCUAAUCCUGUUUGCUACCCACGCUUUCGCGCCUCAGCGUCAGAUAAUGCCCAGUGAACUGCCUUCGCCAUGGGUGUUCCUCCUGAUAUCAACGCAUUUCACCGCUACACCAGGAAUUCCAUUCACCUCUGCAUUCCUCUAGCUCGCCAGUAUGCGAAAUGAUUUCCAGGUUGAGCCUGGAGAUUUAGCUUCACACUUAGCAAGCCGCCUACGCGCUCUUUACGCCCAGUAAAUCCGGACAACGCUUGCACCCUACGUCUUACCGCGGCUGCUGGCAC
rnacentral:rRNA from 1 species